rnacentral:rRNA from 1 species
GUGCCAGCCGCCGCGGUAAUACAGAGGGUGCGAGCGUUGUCCGGAAUCACUGGGCGUAAAGGGCGCGUAGGCGGCUUCUCGCGCGUGCGGUGAAAGCCCGGGGCUCAACUCCGGGUCGGCCGUGCGGACGGGGAGGCUGGAGUCUGGUAGAGGCCGAUGGAAUUCCGGGUGUAGCGGUGGAAUGCGUAGAGAUCCGGAAGAACACCAGUGGCGAAGGCGGUCGGCUGGGCCAGCAUCUUUGGAUGGUCGGGGCAACCCGAUACUGACGCUGAGGCGCGACAGCGUGGGGAGCAAACAGGAUUAGAUACCCGCGUAGUCC